UACAGAGGUGGCAAGCGUUGUCCGGAUUUACUGGGUGUAAAGGGUGCGUAGGCGGGUGUGUAAGUCGGGGGUUAAAGCCUCUUGCUCAACAAGAGAAAUGCCUUCGAUACUGCACGCCUCGAGUGCCGAAGAGGAAACUGGAAUUUCCGGUGUAGCGGUGGAAUGUGUAGAGAUCGGAAAGAACACCAGUGGCGAAGGCAGGUUUCUGGUCGGUAACUGACGCUGAUGCACGAAAGCGUGGGGAGCAAACAGG
rnacentral:rRNA from 1 species